AAAAGUGCCAUCGAUACUGGUUUUCUUGAGUGUGGAUGAAGUAGGCGGAAUUUGUGGUGUAGCGGUGAAAUGCAUAGAUAUCACGAGGAACUCCGAUUGCGCAGGCAGCUUACUAGGCCAUAACUGACGCUCAGGCACGAAGGCGUGGGGAUCAAACAGGAUUAGAUACCCUGGUAGUCCACGCAGUAAACGAUGAUUACUCGCUGUUUGCGAUACACAGUAAGCGGCUUAGCGAAAGCGUUAAGUAAUCCACCUGGGGAGUACGUUCGCAAGAAUGAAACUCAAAGGAAUUGACGGGGGCCCGCACAAGCGGAGGAACAUGUGGUUUAAUUCGAUGAUACGCGAGGAACCUUACCCGGGCUUGAAAUGCAUCUGACAGGAGCAGAGACGCUCUCUCCCUUCGGGGCAGAUGUGUAGGUGCUGCAUGGUUGUCGUCAGCUCGUGCCGUGAGGUGUCGGCUUAAGUGCCAUAACGAGCGCAACCCUCAUCAUUAGUUACCAUCAGGUUAAGCUGGGGACUCUAAUGAGACUGCCAUCGUAAGAUGUGAGGAAGGUGGGGAUGACGUCAAAUCAGCACGGCCCUUACGUCCGGGGCGACACACGUGUUACAAUGGAUGGUACAAAGGGCAGCUACAUGGCGACAUGAUGCUAAUCUCCAAAACCAUUCUCAGUUCGGAUCGAAGUCUGCAACUCGACUUCGUGAAGCUGGAUUCGCUAGUAAUCGCGCAUCAGCCACGGCGCGGUGAAUACGUUCCCGGGCCUUGUACACACCGCCCGUCAAGCCAUGGAAGCCGGGGGUACCUGAAGUUCGUAACCGUCAAAGGAGCGACCUAGGGUAAAACUGGUGAGCUGGGGCUAAGUCGUAACAAGGUAACCGUA
rnacentral:rRNA from 1 species